GAUGAACGCUGGCGGCGUGCCUAAUACAUGCAAGUCGAGCGAACGGACGAGAAGCUUGCUUUUCUGAUGUUAGCGGCGGACGGGCGAGUAACACGUGGAUAACCUACCUAUAAGACUGGGAUAACUUCGGGAAACCGGAGCUAAUACCGGAUAAUAUUUUGAACCGCAUGGUUCAAAAGUGAAAGACGGUCUUGCUGUCACUUAUAGAUGGAUCCGCGCUGCAUUAGCUAGUUGGUAAGGUAACGGCUUACCAAGGCAACGAUGCAUAGCCGACCUGAGAGGGUGAUCGGCCACACUGGAACUGAGACACGGUCCAGACUCCUACGGGAGGCAGCAGUAGGGAAUCUUCCGCAAUGGGCGAAAGCCUGACGGAGCAACGCCGCGUGAGUGAUGAAGGUCUUCGGAUCGUAAAACUCUGUUAUUAGGGAAGGACAUAUGUGUAAGUAACUGUGCACAUCUUGACGGUACCUAAUCAGAAAGCCACGGCUAACUACGUG
rnacentral:rRNA from 1 species